ACAAGGUAAUUGAGAACAGCCAGCAUGGAUUACCAAGAACAAAUCAUGCCUGACUAACCUGAUUACAUUCUGUGAUGAAGGAGCUGGCACUGUGGACAAAGGGAGAACUGUGUAUGAAGUUUACCUUGACUUAAUCAGAGUAAGAAAUCACAUAUACCUUCUGUCCUGAAGAUCUUGCAACAUGCAGGACUCAGGUUCCACAACAGAAAGCAGAGGAAGUAGACAUACAUUUCAGUGAGAUUGGCUCAGUGAUUGCAGGGAGGAGGUCAUCUGAAAACUGAUCUGCAAUCCAUUUGUGAUUUAAUUUUCCAGAUGAGGAAGAUCCUCUAAUCAUGUUGUAUUAAGCAAUUACGAGUAGAGUUUGUAAAGGAAUCUUAACUUGAAUACCACCUAAAAUGUACUACUUAAGAAAAUCAAGAGAACACUUUUUUCUUUUUGUUUCCUCUAACCUGUGCUAUUAUGAUGUUGCUGUGUAAUAAGGACAUUGUAUGCCACUUUGAUCCUUUCAAAGGCACUAAGUAUAUAACAGAUUAAAAAAGGGAUUAUCGGAUCCAGUGACUUUGCUGAACCAGCACUGCUAAAUCAGUGCUCAUGAAGAUAUUUAUAAACUGCUCUUUUGUAGCCUACAGUUGCACUGUCCAUUUCAGUUAAAAUCAUAACUUUUUCCUUAGGAAUGGUAAGGGGAUGAGAUGAGAGAUGCAGUGCAGCACUUGACUUAUUGUAUGUUCUGCUAAGAUAUGAUUUACAGGCCUUUUGUUUGUUGCUGGACAUCCGUAUUGCAGACAGCUCUCAUUUGUUGAAUACUUCGCAGCCAAAUAGAAUUGCAUAGGAGUAUGUGUGUAGUUUAUGUGUAUGUAGAUAUGUAUACAAAUAAAACUAUAAAACACACAUGCCUUUUUGAUGUAUCUGAGUAGAACUGUAUAUAUACAUACCUUCAUAUCCACAUGCAUAUACAUACAUGCAUAUGUGCAUGCAUAUAUAAAACAUGCACACACGUAUAUGGGUGAUCUCUAGCAGCCUUUUUUCUAACAGAAUCAAGAAAAAACAGAUUGCGUACUUGUGGAAAGCUUACUACUUGCUUAAGAAAGUUGUUUUGUUUAGUUUUGUUGUGAAUGUUACUUUAAGAGAAUGAUGUCUGUUUAAGACUUCUUAACUUUUCACGUGUAGACCAUCACAGGGAGUGAUGCAUUGCUCAUGAGAGGAUAUACUGUGGAGUAAAAAGCUUGCUGGAAAAUUGCUGUAAGCAUAGUUCUACUUGUGUUAUUUUACGAAUCAAGGAUUUGUGAUCUCUUCAGUCUUAAGUAGUA